rnacentral:tRNA from 1 species
GGGGGUGUAGCUCAGAUGGUAGAGCGCGCGCUUAGCAUGCGAGAGGUACCGGGAUCGAUACCCGGCACCUCCA